UCAAGAGGUCAGCCAGCCCAAAGCUGCCCAUGCUAGGACUCUGUUGGGUCCCUCAGACUUUCUCACUGAGUUCCGGGAACCAAGGGGAGACAUGGAAGCUACAUCUAACAGCUUUGAAAACCCAGCAUCCUUGUGGAACGCUUAGCCUGCUUCACUAGACUUGGUGAACGGUUCUCACAAUGUGGAUACACCGAGCCUGGCAAGACUCUAGACAGCACUUGCCCUGCCUUGAGAGAAACGAUUCAGAGAACUUCUCCAGGCAAUCCAACUGAGUCUUCUGUCUUUCACUGCUUGACAUUGCUGCUUCGUGCUGGCCUUUGGAUUGGACUGCUGGUAUCCUGAUGUCUGAGUCUGCGGGGAGCAGCAUUACCAGGCCACAGAAGAAGACAACGCAGACACUCCUGAUGAGACCCAAUUGACUAGGACCAGAAGGAAGGAAAAGAAGACCUCCCCUCUCAGUGGACUUGGGGACGGGCAUGCAUGCAGAGGGGGGAGGAAGGGAGGGAUUGGGACGGGAGGAGGGAGGGAACCACAGGGGGGAUACAAAGUGAAUAAAAUGUAAUUAAUAAAGAAUUUAAAAAAAAAGCAGCACUGGAAAACUGUCCUCAUCACCCUGUAUCCUAUAGAAAAGUGAUGAUGUUAUGGUCAUUUUUGGACCAUGCAGCUGUGCAAUUAUGAACUGAAUGACGGGAAAUGUUAGGAAUGGUUUGACACAGCCCAGCCAAAAUAAAACAGGAUAAUGCAG